rnacentral:rRNA from 1 species
UACGGGGGGGGGCAAGCGUUUGUUCGGAAUUACUGGGCGUAAAGGGCUCGUAGGUGGCCAACUAAGUCAGACGUGAAAUCCCCAGGCUUAACCUGGGAACUGCAUCCGAUACUGGAUGGCUUGAAUCCGGGAGAGGGUCGUGGAAUUCCCGGUGUAGCGGUGAAAUGCGUAGAGAUCGGGAGGAACACCAGAGGCGAAGGCGGCGACCUGGACAAGCACUGACACUCAACUACGAAAGCGUGGGGAGCAAACAGG